UAGACGUAGGUGUUCUCGUCAAGUUUUUCAUGUCGGCAUUAAACUAAAGAAUACGCCAUCCGAAACAUCAAAUUAAUGGCUGGCCAUUUACAUAGUACUUGKGAAGGCCGGCACUGUACUUUGCAUUUAUGUUCCUUGCACUCUGUAAUAAUAAAGUAAUAGAAAUGAGCCAAAUUUUCACAGUAAAGAAUUCACAUUGAAUUGAAACAUUGAUUACGUGUAUUCAUAGUGGGACAUUCUAGAAUGUCAUGACAAAUAUUUUCUUUCGAAAUGUCAAUAGAAAGAUGUCUGUGUCGUGUGGAGACAAAUAUUGACCUCAGACAAACUCUCGAACUUCUAGAAUUAUCAUUAAAAUUAUCUUKAAGUCCUGAGUAUAAGAAUAUAUCGAGUUCCAUCUCGUCGAAAAUAGCAGUAAAAACCAAGUCAUGAUUUAGGCAGUAGUGCAAAAGAAAMAUUUUAUGCUGAUAAAACAAWWUUUUUAGGCUGCUAUUAUAUCUCUUAUCUGUUUUUAAACAGUUGACAGCAGGUAUCGAGAAAUGCCCGGGGUAAUUAUCUUUCUACAACGCCAUUGGUCAAUUCUUGGCUUUGGGGUCUUCAAUAUUUGGACAAUAAAUCAAGAUUAUAUCAGGCAGGAAAAGCAUUCCUGGAAGUCUCUGGCAGUUACUUGGCAGCAUACUAAAUAUGAGUUAUUGGGGUUUCAGAUAAUUCUCCAAACUAAAAUCAAUAUCGUUUGUACACAGCUCUUCUCGCUGCUUCUUGUUGUAAAACAACGAUGUCCAGCAUUUAUGAGGCUCCUGAGCCUAAAAGUAUCAGGUCAACAUACGAAAAUUUUCGAGAGAUGCCAAGGGAUUCUAGCAGAGGCAACUCUCUAAGGACAUGUCUUCCUGAUCGAUCUCAAGAUGACCACGAUGUCAAACAGAAGAUGAAGUGUACACUAUCUACGCGCCAUGACUCGAGGCACACCAAAGACAGGCACAAGAGCACAGCGAAAUAGAUGAGACAGCAAAGGAUCUCCAAUGUCCUCCUGCACCUCGUAUACCUGAUGGACGUCAGCUUGGGCGUGACAAUCAGCAGGACCUACAGAACGAAGGAGUUCUUUUGAUUAGAAGAGUUAAAAUACCAGUAGAGCAAAAUGAGCGUGACGUCGUACUUGAGCCCCAAUUAACAAUAAUGAGACCAAUUGCCCAGGAUUCAGGCUCAGGACCAAACAUGGAACCAGUCUUCGACCAAGACAACUUAUACCUGCUCUUUCAUGAGCAUUUCCAAGAAGCAAUUGUGGAAGAGCUAGGUUGAUUAAAGCUGUGUACUAGUAUGAUACGUUCUAUGUACAAACACUGAUUUAUAUAUAGUUUGAUACAAUCGUUGAAUUUUGUAGGCGCUGUAAGGUGGGG